GAUUAAGUUAUUAAGGGCGCACGGUGGAUGCCUUGGCACUAGAAGCCGAUGAAGGACGUUACUAACGACGAUAUGCUUUGGGUAGCUGUAAGUAAGCGUUGAUCCAGAGAUUUCCGAAUGGGGAAACCCAGCACAAGUUAUGUUGUGUUAUCGACAAGUGAAUUCAUAGCUUGUCAGAAGGCAGACCCGGAGAACUGAAACAUCUUAGUACCCGGAGGAAGAGAAAGAAAAUUCGAUUCCCUGAGUAGCGGCGAGCGAAACGGGAAGAGCCCAAACCAAUAAGCUUGCUUAUUGGGGUUGUAGGACACUCUAUACGGAGUUACAAAGGAAUAUAUUAAACGAAUCAUCUGGAAAGUUGAAUCAAAGAAGGUAAUAAUCCUGUAGUUGAAAAUAUAUUCUCUCUUGAGUGGAUCCUGAGUACGACGGAGCACGUGAAAUUCCGUCGGAAUCUGGGAGGACCAUCUCCUAAGGCUAAAUACUCUCUAGUGACCGAUAGUGAACCAGUACCGUGAGGGAAAGGUGAAAAGUACCCCGGAAGGGGAGUGAAAGAGAACUUGAAACCGUGUGCUUACAAGUAGUCAGAGCCCGUUAAUGGGUGAUGGCGUGCCUUUUGUAGAAUGAACCGGCGAGUUACGAUCUGAUGCAAGGUUAAGCAGAAAAUGUGGAGCCGUAGCGAAAGCGAGUCUGAAUAGGGCGUAUAGUAUUUGGUCGUAGACCCGAAACCAGGUGAUCUACCCAUGGUCAGGUUGAAGUUCAGGUAACACUGAAUGGAGGACCGAACCGACUUACGUUGAAAAGUGAGCGGAUGAACUGUGGGUAGCGGAGAAAUUCCAAUCGAACUUGGAGAUAGCUGGUUCUCUCCGAAAUAGCUUUAGGGCUAGCCUCAAGUGAUGAUUAUUGGAGGUAGAGCACUGUUUGGACGAGGGGCCCCUCUCGGGUUACCGAAUUCAGACAAACUCCGAAUGCCAAUUAAUUUAACUUGGGAGUCAGAACAUGGGUGAUAAGGUCCGUGUUCGAAAGGGAAACAGCCCAGACCACCAGCUAAGGUCCCAAAAUAUAUGUUAAGUGGAAAAGGAUGUGGCGUUGCCCAGACAACUAGGAUGUUGGCUUAGAAGCAGCCAUCAUUUAAAGAGUGCGUAAUAGCUCACUAGUCGAGUGACACUGCGCCGAAAAUGUACCGGGGCUAAACAUAUUACCGAAGCUGUGGAUUGUCCUUUGGACAAUGGUAGGAGAGCGUUCUAAGGGCGUUGAAGCAUGAU
rnacentral:rRNA from 1 species